UGGGGAAUAUUGGACAAUGGGGGAAACCCUGAUCCAGCCAUGCCGCGUGAGUGAUGAAGGCCUUAGGGUUGUAAAGCUCUUUUACCAGGGAUGAUAAUGACAGUACCUGGAGAAUAAGCUCCGGCUAACUCCGUGCCAGCAGCCGCGGUAAUACGGAGGGAGCUAGCGUUGUUCGGAAUCACUGGGCGUAAAGGGCGCGUAGGCGGCCUGGACAGUCAGAUGUGAAAGCCCGGGGCUCAACCCCGGAACGGCAUUUGAUACUGCCAGGCUGGAGGACGGAAGAGGAGGGUGGAAUAUCCAGUGUAGAGGUGAAAUUCGUAGAUAUUGGAUGGAACACCGGUGGCGAAAGCGGCUCUCUGGUCCGAACCUGACGCUGAGGCGCGAAAGCGUGGGGAGCAAACAGGAUUAGAUACCCGCGUAGUCC
rnacentral:rRNA from 1 species